UGGGGGAUAUUGCACAAUGGGCGAAAGCCUGAUGCAGCGACGCCGCGUGGGGGAUGAAGGCCUUCGGGUUGUAAACUUCUUUUGCUCUGAACAAGGCGCACCAUGGGGUGUGUUGAGUGUAGGGGUUGAUUAGCGCCGGCUAACUACGUGCCAGCAGCCGCGGUAAUACGUAGGGCGCGAGCGUUGUCCGGAAUUAUUGGGCGUAAAGGGCUUGUAGGUGGCUGGUUGCGUCUGUCGUGAAAGCUCAUGGCUUAACUGUGGGUUUGAGGUGGGUACGGGCUGGCGUGAGUGCAGUAGGGGAGGCUGGAAUUCCUGGUGUAGCGGUGGAAUGCGCAGAUAUCAGGAGGAAUACCGGUGGCGAAGGCGGGUCUCUGGGCUGUUACUGACACUGAGGAGCGAAAGCAUGGGGAGCGAACAGG
rnacentral:rRNA from 1 species